rnacentral:rRNA from 1 species
AUUGAACGCUGGCGGCAGGCUUAACACAUGCAAGUCGAACGAGUGGGGGACGGGUGAGUAAUGCGGGGGAAUCUGGCUUAUGGAGGGGGAUAACGACGGGAAACUGUCGCUAAUACCGCGUACCCUAGUAUGAGCCCAAGUGGGAUUAGUGUGUGGGUGGGGUAAUGGCCUACCAAGCCGACGAUCUCUAGCUGGUCUGAGAGGAUGACCAGCCACACGGGGACUGAGACACGGCCCAGACUCCUACGGGAGGCAGCAGUGGGGAAUAUUGCACAAUGGGGGCAAGCCUGAUGCAGCCAUGCCGCGUGUAUGAAGAAGGCCGUAGGGUUGUAAAGUUCUUUCAGUGAGGAGGCGUUACCGACAGAAGAAGCACCGGCUAACUCCGUGCCAGCAGCCGCGGUAAUUC